CCUCCCGAGCGGCACAUGCCUGGAAUCCUGAUUCCACCGAAGACGCACCACGUCCGCCCGCCCUCCCUCCCCGGAUCUCCCAAGGUCAUUCUCCCUCCUGGUCGCGCGCUGGAUCAUUUCCCCCGAGUCCCCCUCCCAGAUCUGGGCCUGCUGGGACCCAGGAGGACUCCUGGCCCCAAUCCACAGUGCGAGCCCUCCUUUCCCCCCGGGGGACGGGGACGGACGCAGCUCCCCCUCCCUCCCUCCCUCCCUCCCCCAGAAAGGAGCCCCACGAGAGCCCCGCCGGUCUGCCCGCCUCCCCCCAGCUUCAAGGCCGCCCCCCCUGGACACGGACUGUGUGGAGGGGACCCAGGAGUCCUGGGGGAGUCCUCUUGCCCCCCUCCCCCCCACCUCCGGCCUUCCGCUCUAGCCCCUCCUCCUCCGGCUGGGCUGCGCUGCGCGCUGGCGGCGGAGCCGGGGGUGCGCGCAGCAAAAGGGGCGGCCUCGGCCGACGAGGGAGGGAGGGAGGGAGGGAAGCGGGGCCUGGCGCUCCUUCCUCUUCCUCCGCGCGGCGGCAGCAGCAGCACAGCAGCAGCAGCACCACCAGCAGCAGCCGCCGCCGGGCCGCCGGCCGGGAGCCGCCGCGCUCGCCCCUCCAUCCCAUCCCGUCCGGUCCCGUCCGGGCGGGGAGGGGGAGCCGCUGGAGCGUGCCGGGCUAUGUUUGAGACACAGGGCCGAUCCCUGGGUGGCCGCACAGGCACCACCUCGCCACGCACCACCCCAAGCAGCUCCCCCUCUCUGAGGAAGCGCCUGCUGCUGCUGCCCCCACGGCCCCCGCCGGAGUCGCCCCCCGAGACCAUGGUGGAGAAGGGCUCGGAGAACAGCGUGGAGCGGGGCCCCCAGCCGGGGCCCCCUCCCAGCACCCCCCUCAACUACCCGCUCAGUGGGCGUAGCUUCAUCCGCAACAACAAGAAAAUGCAAAGCUGGUAUAGCAUGCUGAGCCCCACGUACAAGCAACGCAACGAAGACUUCCGCAGGAUCUUCAAGGGGCUGCCGGAGGGUGAACGGCUCCUUGUGGAUUAUUCCUGCGCCUUGCAACGCGACAUCCUUCUUCAAGGGCGGCUCUACCUGUCGGAGAACUGGAUCUGUUUCUAUAGCAACAUCUUCCGGUGGGAGACCACGAUCUCCAUCCAGCUCAAGGAAGUGCAGUGCAUCAAGAAGGAGAAGACGGCCAAGUUGAUCCCCAACGCUAUUCAGAUUUGCACCGAGACGGAAAAGCAUUUCUUCACGUCAUUCGGGGCCCGUGACCGCUGCUUCUUGCUGAUUUUCCGCCUCUGGCAGAACGCACUCCUAGAUAAGACAUUGUCCCCCCGAGAACUCUGGCACAUUGUCCACCAGUGCUACGGCUCCGAGCUUGGCCUCACUAGCGAGGAUGACGAUUACGUCUCUCCCGUUGAUGAGAUCAACGGCUUGGGAAGCCCUAAAGAGAUUGGGGACAUCAUUGACCUGAGUGACUUGACUUCUCGCUGCAGCACAGACUUCAAGCUGGACCCCAGCCCCUUGCUGGAAAAAAGGGACGCCAGUCAGAGUAUCAACUCGCUGGCCAGCAGUAGUGAUGGGACCACCUCGCUGGCCGAGGACCCCGAGGAGAACACUGACAGCCAAAUGGAUGCCUCAUCCAGCCACACGGUGACUUCAACGACGGAGCCCCCUGGAGAUGAGUUGCCUCGAGGGCUGACGUCCCCCCUGGAGGGGGACCCACUUCCCAGUGAGGAGCUCCCCACUGACAUGAGUAAUUCCUCCUCUUCCACGCAGGAUGAAGCUGAGGUGGACGCCUUCUUCUCAGACCUGCCGGGGCGAUUGCUCAUUAACACCGUUUAUCACGUUGGCGCCGAGAGGCUGCAGCAGAUGCUCUUCAGUGACUCCCCGUUCAUUCAUGGCUUUUUCGGCCAGCGCAAGUUCACAGAUGUGACGCUGACCUCGUGGAACGGUGACAACAAGUGCCACCAGAGCCGUGUGAUCUCCUACACCAUCCCGAUCAGCAACCCUCUGGGCCCGAAGGCUGCAGCGGUGGUGGAGACCCAGGUGCGGACUCUGUUCCAUGCCAAUUCCAAGAGCAGGGGCUGUGUGGUCGAUUCGGAAGUGAUCACGCAGGGCAUCCCUUACCAGGACUAUUUCUACACCGCACAUCGCUACUGCAUCACCGCCGUGGCCAAGAGCAAGGCCCGCCUCAGAGUUUCUUCUGAGAUCCGGUACCGGAAACAGCCCUGGAACCUGGUGAAGGCACUCAUUGAGAAGAACGCUUGGAGCGGUGUGGAGGAAUAUUUCCAGCACUUGGAGCUGGCGCUGGUGCAGGCGGAGAAGGGUCUGUUGGAGGAGAGCUGCCACGGGAAGGAGCCCCGAGGGCUCUUGUCUGGGCUGCGCCGCCGGAAACGUGCCCUGAGCUGGAGAGCCCCCCACGUCGAGGCCCCGAUCCCCUCGCUACCCGAAGGCGAGGGGACAGCCCGUACCAUCCACGCCUCAGGCAGCCUGACCUCGCGGCUCUCGGAACAGUUGUCGGAGCACGGACAGGGCCAAAGCCUCUCCAACGUGAUCCUCAUCAUCAGCCUGGUGAUCUGUGUGAGGUAUUGUAUGUGAACGUCCCUUCACCGCUGACCACGCGACAGCCUCUGGCGCCCUAUGGACUUUGCCCUUCACCCAGCUCCCAUGCUGUGUUGGCAGUGCUCUUUGACUCAGACCCCUCCCUCCCUGCCUGCCUCAAACAUUUGCGGAUCACGUCUUGCCUCUUCUCCCCCCGCCCCGCUCUGUCCUGGUCACAAAGGCUUUUAUCCUGGCUUCCUGACCUGCUGUCUCACUCCUCAUCAUCUUUAUGGUCUCCUCUUGUUCUUUUGCCCUGGUCCCGACUCCCGUCACCCUUCACUUUCCCCUGCUCUCGGCUCUGCUUGCUGUUUCCCCUCUGUGGUUGUCCCAUACUCAAGGCUGUGGUGUAUUCUGCAUUAGAAAGAAGAGAAAAACUUUAAAAAGCAAGUGGGAAUCCAGGUUUUUAAAAACGAGACCGAGGUCCUGAGCUUGUCUAAACAAUGCCAAUAGAUAUAUGGCUCUUUAUCUGGCCAGAUUUUGUCUGCUCACAAGAGUUAUGGGGAGGUAUAAAAGGUUAUGCAGCGCACUAAAGUCAAGGCCCUUGACUCUUGGGUGACCAAUUCCGAACCACUCUGCCCUCACCCCUACAGCUUCUGAGAUUUUACCUGUGGUUUCCUACACAUUUUCAAGCCUAUGUUCAGUCCCAUAAGGGCUAGAAACUUAAGAAAAAGAAAAUUGAGAAUCCCAGAAUGCAGACACGCCCCCCCCCCCCAAAAAGCUGGCUUAGACUGAAUAAGGCCAAUUAGUCCAUCUAUUCAAUAUAAUCUAUGUUGCUUCUCCAGGGCUUCAGACAGAGGAUUUCCCCAGCCCUACUUGGAGACGCCAGGGGUUGAAGCUAGGGGCCUUCAUGCAACGCAGGUGGUCUACCACUGAGCCCACUUUAAUGCUUAUGUGAAAUGGUGGACUAUUCUCAGCUCAGCUCUGGCUGUAUGUACCUGUCUUUCAGCUCAGGAUGAGUUCACCUAUUCCAUCUGCAACACGGUGCUUUGUUCUCGGUAUUAGAAUUCCAGCUGGAGCUGCUAACCUGGAGGAUUUCUCAUAUAAUAGUUGCCUCUUAUCACCCGAGGCCGUUUCCUAUGUAGCAGAGGGGAGGUGCUUGCUAACAUUUAAGUCAGAGGUUCUCAAAUUGGGUCCCCAGAUUUUAUUAGACUACAACUGGAUGGGGUCACACUUCCCCAAAAGGAACAGGUACGCCCUCUGGGGGUGCUUCUGGACACAAAACUCUCCCAGGUGUCCCAGGUUGAGGCAGUGGCCAGAGGUGCCUUUUAUCAGCUUCGGCUGAUAUGCCAGCUGCGUCCGUUUCUGGAGAUAAAUGACCUCAGAACAGUAGUACAUCUGCUGGUCACCUCCAGACUUGACUACUGCAAUGCGUUCUGUGUGGGGCUGCCUUUGUACGCAGUCCGGAAACUGCAGUUAGUCAAGAAUGUGGCAGUCAGGUUGGUCUCUGGGUCAUCUUGGAGAGUCCAUAUCACUCCUUUCUUAAAAGGUCGAUACUGGCUGCCGCUAAGUUUCCAGCAAAGUACAAGGUUUUGGUUAUGACCUAGAAAACCCUAAACAGCUUAGGCCCUGGGUAUUUAAGAGAAUGUCGUCUUUGCUAUGAACCAUACCGCCCACUGAGAUCAUCUGGAGAGGUCCGUCUGCAGUUGCCACCAGCUCACCUGCAGUUGCCACCAGUGGCUACUCGGGGAUAGGCCUUCUCCAUUGCUGCCCCGAGGCUUUGGAACACACUUCCUGCUGAAAUAAGAGCCUCCCCAUCUCUUACAACUUUUAAAAGGGCUGUCAAGAUGCAUUUGUUCACCCAGGCUUUUAAUUAGAAAUGUGUUAAAUAGGUAGGUAGGUAGGUAAGUAAGUAAGUAAAUAAAUAAACAAACUCCCAUCAUCCCCAGCCACAGUGGCCAAAAGGAUGAUGAGAGUUGUAGUCCAACAUCAUCUGGGGACCCCUGAUUUAAGCUAAAUAGUGUGAACUCGCCCUCUGUCCCCCCCACCAAUUAUCAUCCCUCCCCCAUCCCCGUUAAUUCUUGUGUUUUUUGUCUUUUAUUAAUCCCCCCCCUUUCUCCUUUUAUUAAAAACAAUGGGUAGGAUCCAGAUCAAAUUAGUCAUGACAACAUCCCAUCAACAUUAAUGUCACGUCUUGUCUGUCUAUCUAUCUAUCUAUCUAUCUAUCUAUCUAUCUAUCUAUCUAUCUAUCUAUCUAUCUAUCUAUCACGUUUACAAACCACCCCAUCCAGAGGCUCUGGGCGGUGUACAAUUAUACCUAGACUAACUUGUCUGGAUCUCACUCACCGACUGACAUCCAGACUAAAUUGCCUCUGAGUCGUCCUGUUGAAACCAUUUAGAAUGCCUGCCGAGUUGUGCGACUGGGUAACUUUGUCCAAAUGCUGGCAUCCUGACUAAAUUUACUCAAGGAAGUCCCAAACUUUUCCUUUUGAUUUCCACGGGACUUCCUCGAGUGAAUUUAGUCAGGAUGCCAGUCACCAUUUUCGGAAGAGUGUUGAUGUUCCAGGGGGAGAUGCCGGACAUCAGCACCAGCCAGUCAAUACACAUAUGGCAGGUCAUGCCCUCUAUUCAUAUGUAUGUUCAUAAUGGAGAAGAAGUGUUCCCUCCAUACAGAAAGCAAACAGGUCAGGGAGAAGCCUGGGCCAGAAUCCUUCUGACAGGCUAGUUUACUGUGUGGAAGGGUGUUUUUUUUUUUUUUUUUAAAUGGAGGAACACUUAUUUAUUUGCUAGAUGUAUAUCCCACUUAGAGAUGUGAAGGACUGGGGGAGAACCAGGGAAAAGGUGGGGAGAAACUGGGGGAAACCACAAGAUUUUUUCUGGGGGGAAAUUGUUUCCCCCACCCCACCUUCACACCUCUAAUCCCAUUCUUCCUCCAAGGGGCCCAGCGUAAAACAGUUAUGAUUAUCCUCACAACAACCUUGUGAGGUAAGUUAGGUGGAGAGAAAAGUGACUGGCCCAGAAUCACCCAGUGAGUUUCAUGGCUCAAAGGGGAUUUGAACUCGGGUCUCCUUGAUCCUUGCCCAACAUUGUAACCACUACACUGCACUGGCAUUCAAAUAGAUGAGCCCACAGCUGUGUCCUGAGCAGCUCAGACGCUGGUUUGCCACGUCACCAAGACCCAAGCCUGAGUGGCCUCUUUUCUUUCCGAAUUCCAACCCAUUUGUCUCUCCACAGUCUGGUGGUCUUGGUCAUCCUCAACAUGAUGCUCUUCUACCGGCUCUGGUCGCUGGAGCACACGGCCCGGACCUUCGAAUCCUGGCAGGCCUACGCGCUCUCCAACGGAAAGCUACCCCAGACGGCGUCUGAAUGGGCAGAGAUCCUGG